rnacentral:rRNA from 1 species
GAUGAACGCUGACAGAAUGCUUAACACAUGCCAGUCUUUGGUGAAGCUGUGCUUGCACCGCCUAGCCAAGGCGGACGGGUGAGUAACGCGUAAGGAACUUGCCCUGCAGUCAGGGAUAACAGACGGAAACGACUGAUAAGACCUGGUAAAGUCAGGCGGACUCAUGUCCAGCCUGAUGAAAAGAGAUGCUGCAGGAGAGCCUUGCGUCCUAUUAGCUUGUUGGUGGGGUAACGGCCCACCAAGGCAAUGAUAGGUAGCCGGCCUGAGAGGGUGGACGGCCACAAGGGGACUGAGAUACGGCCCUUACUCCUACGGGAGGCAGCAGUGGGGAAUAUUGGACAAUGGGGGCAACCCUGAUCCAGCAAUUCUGUGUGCACGAUGAAGGUUUUCGGAGUGUAAAGUGCUUUCAGCAGGGAAGAAAAAAAUGACGGUACCUGCAGAAGAAGCGACGGCUAAAUACGUG